rnacentral:lncRNA from 1 species
GUUUGUCAGGACCCCCACCUGUCUCUGGAGCCCACUGUGCUCCGUCUCUGCUGGGAACGUGAUCCUGUGAUCACAAAGUUACAGCAGCCGGAGGCCACCAGCCAGCCAGCUCCCCAGCGGAUCGGGAAGAUCGGAGCCUGUGCUGCCAUGAAUGUCAGUUUCUUCAUUUGCUCUUUAAUUGAUUCACUAAAUACUCAUUGAGCCUCAUGACAGUCAGAUCCGGAGCUGGUUACUGGGAACACAAUUUCUUUUCCAUUAAUCUUCUGGUUCAACAGACUCCUAUCAGAGCUUCAGGAAGAACUUUGGCUGUUCCCAGGCUCCAAGUUCAAGGACUCUUUCACCUAAUGAUUACUAAGAGAAGCCAACUGCCAUGCUGUGAGCUACCCUAAGGAGAGAGUCACAUGGGCAAAAGGAAAGAAAAGCCCUGAUAUUUUUGGUUAAGAGCCAAUGAGGACCCAAGGCCUGCCAACAGCCAUGUGUAUCCAAGUACACUCCUGCAGUCACUUACUAUGUUAGGAAUAUGCAGUCGUAUGGAGUACUACUCCGUCAUCAAGGAGGAUAAACUUGAGGCAUUUUUAGGUAAAUAGAUGCACCUCAAGACCAUAAUUUUAAGUGAAAUAAACCAGACACACAAGUUUAAAUCUAGCAUUGUUUUCCUUGUGUGAGAAACUCAAAGGGUAAAUAAGGAACAAAAUGGAGGAUAGAUAUUGGCAAGUAGGAAGAACAUGUUCAAAUGGGAAGGGGAACAAAGGAGGAGGAAGGGAAGAGAAAGGAAAUUUUAAAAGAGAAUGGAAGAGAAAAAGUG